rnacentral:rRNA from 1 species
CAAUAGCGUAUAUUAAAGUUGUUGCGGUUAAAAAGCUCGUAGUUGGAUUUCUGCCGAGGACGACCGGUCCGCCCUCCGGGUGAGUAUCUGGUUUGGCCUGGGCAUCUUCUUGGAGAACGUAGCUGCACUUGACUGUGUGGUGCGGUGUCCAGGACUUUUACUUUGGGGAAAUUAGAGUGUUUCAAGCAGGCACACGCCUUGAAUACAUUAGCAUGGAAUAAUAAGAUAGGACCUCGGUUCUAUUUUGUUGGUUUCUAGAGCUGAGGUAAUGAUUAAUAGGGAUAGUUGGGGGCAUUCGUAUUUAACUGUCAGAGGUGAAAUUCUUGGAUCUGUUAAAGACGGACUACUGCGAAAGCAUUUGCCAAGGAUGUUUUCAUUGA